rnacentral:rRNA from 1 species
GGGUGGAUUAGUGGCGAACGGGUGAGUAACACGUGGGCAAUCUGCCCUUCACUCUGGGACAAGCCCUGGAAACGGGGUCUAAUACCGGAUAACACUCUGUCCUGCAUGGGACGGGGUUGAAAGCUCCGGCGGUGAAGGAUGAGCCCGCGGCCUAUCAGCUUGUUGGUGGGGUAAUGGCCUACCAAGGCGACGACGGGUAGCCGGCCUGAGAGGGCGACCGGCCACACUGGGACUGAGACACGGCCCAGACUCCUACGGGAGGCAGCAGUGGGGAAUAUUGCACAAUGGGCGAAAGCCUGAUGCAGCGACGCCGCGUGAGGGAUGACGGCCUUCGGGUUGUAAACCUCUUUCAGCAGGGAAGAAGCGCAAGUGACGGUACCUGCAGAAGAAGCGCCGGCUAACUACGUGCCAGCAGCCGCGGUAAUACGUAGGGCGCAAGCGUUGUCCGGAAUUAUUGGGCGUAAAGAGCUCGUAGGCGGCUUGUCACGUCGGAUGUGAAAGCCCGGGGCUUAACCCCGGGUCUGCAUUCGAUACGGGCUAGCUAGAGUGUGGUAGGGGAGAUCGGAAUUCCUGGUGUAGCGGUGAAAUGCGCAGAUAUCAGGAGGAACACCGGUGGCGAAGGCGGAUCUCUGGGCCAUUACUGACGCUGAGGAGCGAAAGCGUGGGGAGCGAACAGGAUUAGAUACCCUGGUAGUCCACGCCGUAAACGUUGGGAACUAGGUGUUGGCGA